AGUGAACGCUGGCGGUAGGCCUAACACAUGCAAGUCGAACGGCAGCACAGUAAGAGCUUGCUCUUACGGGUGGCGAGUGGCGGACGGGUGAGGAAUACAUCGGAAUCUACUUUUUCGUGGGGGAUAACGUAGGGAAACUUACGCUAAUACCGCAUACGACCUACGGGUGAAAGCAGGGGAUCUUCGGACCUUGCGCGAUUGAAUGAGCCGAUGUCGGAUUAGCUAGUUGGCGGGGUAAAGGCCCACCAAGGCGACGAUCCGUAGCUGGUCUGAGAGGAUGAUCAGCCACACUGGAACUGAGACAAGGUCCAGACUCCUACGGGAGGCAGCAGUGGGGAAUAUUGGACAAUGGGCGCAGGCCUGAUCCAGCCAUACCGCGUGGGUGAAGAAGGCCUUCGGGUUGUAAAGCCCUUUUGUUGGGAAAGAAAAGCAGCAGGUUAAUACCCCGCUGUUCUGACGGUACCCAAAGAAUAAGCACCGGCUAACUUCGUG
rnacentral:rRNA from 1 species